GGGCCACUCUGAACUACAUAGUGAGACCCUAUCUCAAAAAAAAAGUAUAUCCCUUGUGAGUUAAAAUAUACCUGCACAUGGAACAGAAUUCGGUGCAAGGAGCCAGUGUCCUACUGGUUGAUGUCAUAACAGCCUGUGUCAUCAGUGUUGGAGCUGGUAGAUUCUAGUUCUGGCGGAACACUGCUCAUCCAAACACAAACUCUUUAACCACAGACCAUAAUUAUUCCUAACAAAGAAGGUCGGAUUCUCUUCCUCAGAGUACAGUAGUUCUUAAUCCAGCUCUGGAUGGUUUAACAGUAGUAUAAAAGAUGUUUGACCUCGAUACAAAGACUAUAAUCUACAUUGGUGGCAGCUUACUGAUCGUUGCAGUUAUACUGAUUGCUGUUGCCACUAGUCUUUUCUUCAAAGUCACCAAAGUGCUGAAGUGAGUCGUGGGGACAAGAGUGAACAAUGCUUCCUCAAAUGGGAGACCUGGUGCUCUGCUUGAGCAGGGUCAUUCCUUAUUACUGGGGCUACACUGUGGUUGAGGUCAAGAACCACAGGCGGGUUUGAAAAGGCGAAGACAGAGCAGCAAAAGUACUUCAUUGUGAAGCCAUCAACACCAAGGACAAGGUCAUCCUGGCUGGAGCCUCCACGACUGAGUAUCGUCCCACUGUUUCGCCCUGUGAUGAAUGUAAAAUGUAUGCAGAUCCCUUGCCACCUUGCUUUUGUGAGAUAAAUGAGGGAUUCUAAUGUGGGAUUGGUGGACACAAAAGUCUUCAUAAGCGAUAUUUCUUAGUAGAAUGUUUUGUUACUCAAGUCACGUUCUACGCCAUUUAUAGUCUUGUGUCCUCUCACAUGACAUUUAUGUAUUUUUGAUUACAUUGCAAUAAUGAAAAUAAUCCUUUCUACCUCUA